GCCGGGUGUGGUGGUGCACUCCUGUAAUCCCAGCUACUUGGGAGGCUGAGGUAGGAGAACUGCUUGAGCCCGGGAGGCAGAGGUUGCAGUGAGCCGAAAUAGAGGCGCUGCACUCCAGCCUGGGCAACAGAGUGAGAUCCUGUCUCAA
rnacentral:SRP_RNA from 1 species